UUCUGUUGGCAUUUUCUUGAGCGUACUCCAACAGAACGAUCAGAUAUCAGUAAAUUGUAGGAGAUUGGACGGCCUUAGCAGCUUUUGU